AGUGAACGCUGGCGGUAGGCCUAACACAUGCAAGUCGAACGGCAGCACAGGAGAGCUUGCUCUCUGGGUGGCGAGUGGCGGACGGGUGAGGAAUACAUCGGAAUCUACUCUGUCGUGGGGGAUAACGUAGGGAAACUUACGCUAAUACCGCAUACGACCUACGGGUGAAAGCAGGGGAUCUUCGGACCUUGCGCGAUUGAAUGAGCCGAUGUCGGAUUAGCUAGUUGGCGGGGUAAAGGCCCACCAAGGCGACGAUCCGUAGCUGGUCUGAGAGGAUGGUCAGCCACACUGGAACUGAGACACGGUCCAGACUCCUAGGGGAGGCAGCAGUGGGGAAUAUUGGACAAUGGGCGCAAGCCUGAUCCAGCCAUACCGCGUGGGUGAAGAAGGCCUUCGGGUUGUAAAGCCCUUUUGUUGGGAAAGAAAUCCAGCUGGCUAAUACCCGGUUGGGAUGACGGUACCCAAAGAAUAAGCACCGGCUAACUUCGUGCCAGCAGCCGCAGUAA
rnacentral:rRNA from 1 species